UCUCCCAAUAACAUUGGCUUCUGCUCAAGUCUUUGAUUUGUACACUUGUCCAGCUUCACCAUUUAUAUGGAAUCCUCCUUCAACUUGUGUUCUAGGAUGGGUCUCCUUUAAGAUGACAAACAUAUUCUUGAAUGCCUCAUUCAACAAUCAGAAUCGUUGGAAGCAGUAGGGAGAGAGUACUCUGUGGGGUCAGGAACAAAGCCUGAAUCCAGCUCCUGAGGCAAUUCUUAAGGGUUCUCCCAGAAGUAUGACACUGUACAAACUUGGCCUUAUCUCCCAAUGGGUGUCUGUCAUCUACCCAAGUUGGAGAAAGGUGAAUUCACAAAGGGGAGGGCCCUAGGUCUCUGCUCUGAUCCCAGACGUGGUUUGGCUGACCUCUACUGGAGUUCUAGAUUGCCACCAUUCAGCUCCACCCGAGGGAACCCAGGUACUCCGGACGUUUCCAACACAUAAGGUCAACUUCCAGCCUGGACGUGUUCAUUUUGGAACUGAUACACUUUUGCCUAAGAUCAGGAAAAAACAAAUACAAAACCGGCAGCCCAAACUCAAGCUUAGGAUGGCAGCACCAACCUGGAAGCAGCUCAAAACAGCACUGACAAGCUUCUUAGCCAGAAGGGAAAAGGGAAGCCGAAGCUGGAGGCCUCCCUGUGAAAUUUCAGCAGAGUUUUUCUGAUGCUAGCCAAUAACAAGACUCUUUAUUAAACCAUGGUGUUAGCCCU
rnacentral:lncRNA from 1 species